CCUGCCGAGGGAGCCGCCCUCUGCUCUGGCUGGUCAAACGGGACCAGGUCCGUCUUCCUGAGAGGUUUGGUCCCCUUCAACCAGCUACAGCAGAGAUGGCAAUGCCCAGUCCUUGGAGA
rnacentral:miRNA from 1 species